GAGCGAGAUUUAUCGUGGUCUUUCGCUAGCUGUGACGGAAUACAUAUGGGAAAAAGAUACUUUAGCUGUGCUCCUGGUAGAGGCACCUUCGCCGAGUUUGUUAACGUUCUUGAGUGUUACAGAUGACGAUAACAGCAAUGUGGCUCCUGUUUCUGGGCCCCCGGUGUGAAAGAACAGGAAAAGUUAGAACAGUCUCUGUCCGCCAUCUUGAGAUUUUGGUCAGAAGUUCAUUUCAAACCAUUGACCAAUCUGGAACUUUCAAAUGCGCUCGCUCAUGGUGCAAAACUUGUCCUUUCAUUCAUAACGUAGAGGAAAUAUCGGAACCCCAAGAGAUUCAAUAAAAUUCAUGAUCACUUUACGUGUA